rnacentral:rRNA from 1 species
GACGAACGCUGGCGGCGUGCCUAAUACAUGCAAGUAGAACGCUGAAGGAGGAGCUUGCUUCUCCGGAUGAGUUGCGAACGGGUGAGUAACGCGUAGGUAACCUGCCUGGUAGCGGGGGAUAACUAUUGGAAACGAUAGCUAAUACCGCAUAACAGUAGAUAUCGCAUGAUAUCUGCUUGAAAGGUGCAAUUGCAUCACUACCAGAUGGACCUGCGUUGUAUUAGCUAGUUGGUGAGGUAACGGCUCACCAAGGCGACGAUACAUAGCCGACCUGAGAGGGUGAUCGGCCACACUGGGACUGAGACACGGCCCAGACUCCUACGGGAGGCAGCAGUAGGGAAUCUUCGGCAAUGGACGGAAGUCUGACCGAGCAACGCCGCGUGAGUGAAGAAGGUUUUCGGAUCGUAAAGCUCUGUUGUAAGAGAAGAACGAGUGUGAGAGUGGAAAGUUCACACUGUGACGGUAGCUUACCAGAAAGGGACGGCUAACUACGUG